rnacentral:rRNA from 1 species
GAUGAACGCUGGCGGCGUGCUUAACACAUGCAAGUCGAACGAAGCACUUUGGAGAGAUUCUUCGGAUGAAGUCCUUGGUGACUGAGUGGCGGACGGGUGAGUAACGCGUGGGUAACCUGCCUCAUACAGGGGGAUAACAGUUAGAAAUGGCUGCUAAUACCGCAUAAGCGCACGGUACUGCAUGGUACAGUGUGAAAAACUCCGGUGGUAUGAGAUGGACCCGCGUUGGAUUAGCUAGUUGGCAGGGUAACGGCCUACCAAGGCGACGAUCCAUAGCCGGCCUGAGAGGGUGGACGGCCACAUUGGGACUGAGACACGGCCCAGACUCCUACGGGAGGCAGCAGUGGGGAAUAUUGCACAAUGGGGGAAACCCUGAUGCAGCGACGCCGCGUGAGCGAAGAAGUAUUUCGGUAUGUAAAGCUCUAUCAGCAGGGAAGAAAAUGACGGUACCUGACUAAGAAGCCCCGGCUAACUACGUGCCAGCAGCCGCGGUAAUACGUAGGGGGCAAGCGUUAUCCGGAUUUACUGGGUGUAAAGGGAGCGUAGACGGAAUGGCAAGUCUGAUGUGAAAGGCCGGGGCUCAACCCCGGGACUGCAUUGGAAACUGUCAAUCUAGAGUACCGGAGGGGUAAGUGGAAUUCCUAGUGUAGCGGUGAAAUGCGUAGAUAUUAGGAGGAACACCAGUGGCGAAGGCGGCUUACUGGACGGUAACUGACGUUGAGGCUCGAAAGCGUGGGGAGCAAACAAGAUUAGAUACCCUGGUAGUCCACGCCGUAAACGA